UUCUAACCACACAUAUCAGGAAGUCAAGCA
rnacentral:piRNA from 1 species